rnacentral:rRNA from 1 species
GCGCUAUCAGAUGAGCCUAGGUCGGAUUAGCUAGUUGGUGGGGUAAUGGCUCACCAAGGCGACGAUCCGUAACUGGUCUGAGAGGAUGAUCAGUCACACUGGAACUGAGACACGGUCCAGACUCCUACGGGAGGCAGCAGUGGGGAAUAUUGGACAAUGGGCGAAAGCCUGAUCCAGCCAUGCCGCGUGUGUGAAGAAGGUCUUCGGAUUGUAAAGCAAAUGAGUUGGGAGGAAGGGCAGUAAGUUAAUACCUUG